rnacentral:rRNA from 1 species
AAACGGGUGGUAAUGCCGGAUGCUCCAUCACACCGCAUGGUGUGUUGGGAAAGCCUUUGCGGCAUGGGAUGGGGUCGCGUCCUAUCAGCUUGAUGGCGGGGUAACGGCCCACCAUGGCUUCGACGGGUAGCCGGCCUGAGAGGGCGACCGGCCACAUUGGGACUGAGAUACGGCCCAGACUCCUACGGGAGGCAGCAGUGGGGAAUAUUGCACAAUGGGCGCAAGCCUGAUGCAGCGACGCCGCGUGAGGGAUGGAGGCCUUCGGGUUGUAAACCUCUUUUGUUAGGGAGCAAGGCAUUUUGUGUUGAGUGUACCUUUCGAAUAAGCACCGGCUAACUACGUGCCAGCAGCCGCGGUAAUACGUAGGGUGCAAGCGUUAUCCGGAAUUAUUGGGCGUAAAGGGCUCGUAGGCGGUUCGUCGCGUCCGGUGUGAAAGUCCAUCGCUUAACGGUGGAUCCGCGCCGGGUACGGGCGGGCUUGAGUGCGGUAGGGGAGACUGGAAUUCCCGGUGUAACGGUGGAAUGUGUAGAUAUCGGGAA